rnacentral:tRNA from 1 species
GGAGAUGUGGCUGAGAGGCUGAAAGCGAUAGUUUGCUAAAUUAUUGUAUAUUUUUAUACCGCAGGUUCGAAUCCUGUCGUCUCCU